rnacentral:rRNA from 1 species
AUGCUAUGCGGAGACUUCAACCUCAUCCUACAUGACGAGGACAAGAGCAAUGGCAACUUGAAUAGGCGAAUGAUGGGCAGGUUUCGCCACCUUGUCAAUGAUCUCGCCCUGAAAGAAAUUUACCUCAAUGGGCGCCGCUUUACAUGGUCCAACGAGCAGUCCCCGCCUACCCUGGUGCACCUAGAUCGCGUGCUCUGCACCUCGGACUGGGAAGACGCACACGGCGAGUGCCAUCUCCGCUGCCUUGCGUCCGUCGUCUCGGAUCAUUGCCCGCUGCUGUUAGACUGCGCACCCAUGCCCACGGCGUACAGGCGCUUCCAUUUUGAGGAUUUCUGGCUCAGGCUAGAUGGAUUUCAGGACACGGUGGCCGCGGCCUGGGGCUCGGUUUUACGACCCGGACCCCUUUCACCGCUUGAUGUUGCGCCUUCAGGCCACAGCCCGUAG